CUACGUGCCAGCAGCCGCGGUAAUACGUAGGUCCCGAGCGUUGUCCGGAUUUAUUGGGCGUAAAGCGAGCGCAGGCGGUUAGAUAAGUCUGAAGUUAAAGGCUGUGGCUUAACCAUAGUACGCUUUGGAAACUGUUUAACUUGAGUGCAAGAGGGGAGAGUGGAAUUCCAUGUGUAGCGGUGAAAUGCGUAGAUAUAUGGAGGAACACCGGUGGCGAAAGCGGCUCUCUGGCUUGUAACUGACGCUGAGGCUCGAAAGCGUGGGGAGCAAACAGGAUUAGAUACCCUGGUAGUCCACGCCGUAAACGAUGAGUGCUAGGUGUUAGACCCUUUCCGGGGUUUAGUGCCGUAGCUAACGCAUUAAGCACUCCGCCUGGGGAGUACGACCGCAAGGUUGAAACUCAAAGGAAUUGACGGGGGCCCGCACAGGCGGUGGAGCAUGUGGUUUAAUUCGAAGCAACGCGAAGAACCUUACCAGGUCUUGACAUCCCUCUGACCGCUCUAGAGAUAGAGCUUUC
rnacentral:rRNA from 1 species